GUAGGGAAUAUUGGGCAAUGGAUGCAAGUCUGACCCAGCCAUCCCGCGUGCCGGAAGAAGGCCCUCAGGGUUGUAAACGGCUUUUGACGGUGAAGAAUCGACAGGAUGCGCCCUGUUUUGACGGUAGCCGUUGAAUAAGCACCGGCUAACUCCGUGCCAGCAGCCGCGGUAAUACGGAGGGUGCGAGCGUUGUCCGGAUUUAUUGGGUUUAAAGGGUGCGUAGGCUGGAAGGUCAGUCAGCGGUGAAAAGCUGUCGCUUAACGAUAGUCUUGCCGCAGAUACUUCCUUUCUUGGAUGAGGAGGAGGCCACUGGAACGGAUGGUGUAGCGGUGAAAUGCAUAGAUAUCAUCCAGAACACCGAUUGCGAAGGCAGGUGGCUGUACCUUAAUCGACGCUGAUGCACGAAAGCAUGGGGAGCAAACAGGAUUAGAAACCCGUGUAGUCC
rnacentral:rRNA from 1 species